UACAGAGGGUGCGAGCGUUGUUCGGAAUUACUGGGCGUAAAGCGCGCGCAGGCGGCCUUUUAAGUCUGCUGGUGAAAUGCCGGGGCUCAACCCCGUGCCCGCCACAGAUACUGGGAGGCUGGAGACGAGUAGAGGCAAGCGGAAUUCCGGGUGUAGCGGUGGAAUGCGUAGAUAUUGGGAGGAACACCAGUGGCGAAGGCGGCUCACUGGACCGGAACUGACGCUGAGGCGCGAAAGCGUGGGGAGCAAACAGG
rnacentral:rRNA from 1 species